GUGUGUGUUGUUUAACAUUUUAAUAGGGGCUCAUCUGUCACAACAUUGAUCGCCAGGGUGGAGUCGGCUGAUCUGGCUGGCUAGGCGGGUGUCUGCUUCCUCCCUCACCGCUGCAUGUGCGUACCUCCCGAAGCUGCGCGCUCGGUUGAAGAGGACGACCUUUCCCGAUAGAAGGAAGACCGUCCUUCGGUCAAGGGUAUACGAGUAGCUGCGCUCCCCUGCUAGAACCUCCAAACAAGUCUCAGCACAUAUUUUUAUGCUGACAAAGCCCCCCUUGGCUUAUACUCAAGUGAGGGUCCCCACUU
rnacentral:snRNA from 1 species